rnacentral:rRNA from 1 species
AGUGAACGCUGGCGGUAGGCCUAACACAUGCAAGUCGAACGGCAGCACCGUAAGAGCUUGCUCUUACGGGUGGCGAGUGGCGGACGGGUGCGGAAUACAUCGGCAUCUACUUUUUCGUGGGGGAUAACGUAGGGAAACUUACGCUAAUACCGCAUACGACCUACGGGUUAAAGCAGGGGAUCUUCGGACCUUGCGCGAUUGAAUGAGCCGAUGUCGGAUUAGCUAGUUGGCGGGGUAAAGGCCCACCAAGGCGACGAUCCGUAGCUGGUCUGAGAGGAUGAUCAGCCACACUGGAACUGAGACACGGUCCAGACUCCUACGGGAGGCAGCAGUGGGGAAUAUUGGACAAUGGGCGCAAGCCUGAUCCAGCCAUACCGCGUGGGUGAAGAAGGUCUUCGGGUUGUAAAGCCCUGUUGUUGGGAAAGAAAAGCAGCAGGAUAAUACCCCGCUGUUCUGACGGUACCCAAAGAAUAAGCACCGGCUAACUUCGUG